ACGGGAGGCAGCAGUGGGGAAUAUUGCACAAUGGGGGAAACCCUGAUGCAGCGAUGCCGCGUGGAGGAAGAAGGUUUUCGGAUUGUAAACUCCUGUCUUAAGGGACGAUAAUGACGGUACCUUAGGAGGAAGCUCCGGCUAACUACGUGCCAGCAGCCGCGGUAAUACGUAGGGAGCGAGCGUUGUCCGGAAUUACUGGGUGUAAAGGGAGCGUAGGCGGGAUGGCAAGUCAGAUGUGAAAACUAUGGGCUUAACCCAUAGACUGCAUUUGAAACUGUGGAUCUUGAGUGAAGUAGAGGUAAGCGGAAUUCCUAGUGUAGCGGUGAAAUGCGUAGAUAUUAGGAGGAACACCAGUGGCGAAGGCGGCUUACUGGGCCUUAACUGACGCUGAGGCACGAAAGCGUGGGGAGCAAACAGGAUUAGAUACCCUGGUA
rnacentral:rRNA from 1 species